rnacentral:rRNA from 1 species
CAAACGGGUGCGGAACACGUACAGAACCUUCCUUUAAGCGGGGGAUAGCCCGGAGAAAUCCGGAUUAAUACCCCAUAGUAAUGUUGAGUGGCAUCACUUGAUGUUUAAAGAUUUAUCACUUAGAGAUGGCUGUGCGGCUGAUUAGGUAGUUGGUGUGGGUAAAGGCCCACCAAGCCGGCGAUCAGUAACUGGUGUGAGAGCACGACCAGUCACACGGGCACUGAGACACGGGCCCG